GCUGGGCGUGGUGGCUCACGCCUGUAGUCCCACCACUUUGAGAGGCCGAGGCGGGUGGAUCACCAGGUCAGGAGAUCAAGACCAUCCUGGUCAACAUGGUGAAACCUCGUCUCUGCUAAAAAUACACAGAUUGGCCGGGCGUGGUGGCACGCGCGCCUGUAAUCCCAGCUACUGGGGAGGCUGAGGCAGGAGAAUUGCUUGAACCCGGGAGGCAGNNNNNNNNNNCUGCCUCCCGGGUUCAAGCAAUUCUCCUGCCUCAGCCUCCCCAGUAGCUGGGAUUACAGGCGCGCGUGCCACCACGCCCGGCCAAUCUUUGUAUUUUUAGCAGAGACGAGGUUUCACCAUGUUGACCAGGAUGGUCUUGAUCUCCUGACCUGGUGAUCCACCCGCCUCGGC
rfam:Gorilla gorilla gorilla genomic chromosome, chr5, whole genome shotgun sequence